rnacentral:lncRNA from 1 species
CAACUCUGUUUCCUGCUAUUAGAAUAAAUUUAAUCAAUGGUAAGUAAACACCUGUUUAAAUAUGAUUUUAACAAACCAAUAAUAAUUAUUAAUGGCCAUUCAACAUUGUUCGUUCCAGGUCAAAAAUUCUUCCGGAAUUUCUCGGAAGGUUUCCUUUAGGAGUUCUUCCAGGAGUUUCUAGAAGUACAUCCAGGAGUUCCUCCAGAAAUUGCUGCCAAAGUUCCUCCGGAUGGCAGUAAAGGCCUCGUUAGAACGGUGCGUAAUUUCGAGUCCCAAGAAGAGGUGGUCGUCGUUUACAACAAAGGCACUGCUAGCAACUAUUGGUGCGCGGACGCAUCUGAUCUUCAAAUCCAGAUAGUGCCCCGACCGAAAUUAAACACGAGAGAACCAUGUACGACAGAUGCCGAUAAUUGUCAUAUCCUGGAAGUGUGCCGAGUGUAACAAUUACGAUCUGUGCUCGAUCUGCUAUCACGGAGAUAUGCAUCAUUUGAGGAAUCGGUUGCAUCGAAUUUUGAGACCAGGUGGCGAAAAAACGCUGUUGGAACCGCAACGCAAAUUAAAAAAGAUUGCAGUGCGGGGGAUUUUUCCUGGGGCACGUGUUGUCCGGGGAGUCGAUUGGCAGUAGGAAAAUCAGGACGGUGGUAAUGGCCGACGCGAAAAGGUCAAUGUAAUUCAGGACUGGCCUUCGGCUUCGACAAAAUCAGAGCUGCACUGCAACAAUUUGCUGUGGGUGAUUUUGUCGAAAUUUGCAGUGAUUUGGAGAGUAUCAAGUGCAUUUUCAUCGGAUGGAUCAACGGCUGUUACUACAAAUGGAGAACGAUUGUCGGCACUUUUGGAAAAGUUAUUUGAACCACACGCGUCUGAUGAUACGACUGAAGAAUUGGUGAAGGCAGCCAAUAGUGAUGUUGCUAAGGAUUGAACCCAACUAUUCAGAAAAACCAGCUAGCAGAAGUUCGGGAGGAAUCCAAAUCCGUAGAGACGCCUAUUACGUAUAAGGAAAAAGGAAUAAAAAAAAUAAUAAUAAUCAGGUUCAACAGACUUGUACGAACUGCUCAAAAUGGUUCACAGUCUACUCUGGAAGUCAACACACAAGAUCGAGCGUCUUCUAGAAUUCAUCUCUCUGGGUGCCAUUACGAAGGACUACAUAUAAUUAAAAAAUAAAAUAAAUAUAAAAAAGGAUUUAUAAUAAAAUAAAAUAAAAUUUA